UUAUUUUAUUUAAUAUUACUCUUAUAUUAUAAUAUUUAAUAGUACUCUUACUAUUAUUAGAAGAUUUUUGGGCUAAACUAGGCCUCCCUUAUUCGCUGUGAGUCUUCAAGGUGGUCAUGGAACCCUCAGAUUCAAAACCGAAGUAUGGAGGCCAGUCACUAAUCAUGGAACCAUUAGGAAUUCCUAGCACAUCUACUGUCACACUCCUAAAGUAACUAUUAUUAGCUGGAUUUUGUCCCCCCAAAUUCAUAUGCUGAAAUCCGAGCCUUCAGUCCCUCAGAAUGUGAGUGUAUUUAGAGAUAAGAUAUUUAAACAAGUAAUUAAGUUAAAAUGAGGUCAUUAGGGUAGGUGUUCAUCUGAUAAGACCAGUGUCCUUAUAAGAAGAGGAGAUUCAGACACAGACACACACAUGUGAAGAUAAAGGGAGAAGGCGGCCAUCUCCACGCCAAGGAGAGAGGCCUCAGAAAAAACCAACCCUGCUGACACCUUGAUCUUGGACUUCUAGCCUUCAGAAUUGUGAAAAAAUAAAUUUCUGUUAUUUAUGCCACCUCAUUGGUACUCUGUUACGGCAGCUCAAGCAAACAAAUACAGUAUCUGAUCUCCUUCACAGGCACAUCCAGUUUCAAAGAGGAGAAUCUUAGCUCUGGAAGGGGCAUAUCAGUCCUUCCAUUCAUCCCUUCUACUAGACAGCCCUUCUACUGCUGCCUGACAGAUCUAGAUGGAGAGAGAGAAGCCCAAGUUAGGCCCCUCGAGACUCAGAGAAAGAGGCGAUCACCUUUACUUACACAUGCCCCACCACAUAGUAUAAUCACAUUCUAUGAAGCUAAUUUACUAGACUUGAUUAAUUUCAUACCCUCCUGAGGGAUAGGUUCAGUAAUCAUACAGCUAUGUUAACGUCACAGGGAGAACUGAUUCACUUAGCUAUUUCUUUUACAUUGGUAUGUCUUCGUUGUGUAAAUGUAGACACAGCUAUUGAGGGAAAAAAUGUGCUGAUGCUUUUAAAUAAUUGUUGUUCACAGAAUUAUAGCAUUACAUGGGAUCCCAAGACUCUGUCUGGGACAUUACUCACAUUUUCUGGUUACCAGGUCCCUGCUGGUGAAUAAAAAUUAGUCCUGAGAAAUAAAAUUAACAGCUUAAGACCAGUCACAUAUCCAUUAAGCUAGCUAAAAACAAGCCUUGAGCUGAUAAACUGGCAAGUGCAGGAAAAAUUUGGUGAGAGUUCUCAGGGGAAAUCCAAUUUCAGACUUACAUCAAGGACAUGACCUUUGAUCACGCCUGAACUUAGUCUAAUGCAUGAAGAAUACUUCCCCAUGGCCAGCCCAGGGAUGGGGCUUUACUCCACCUAAAGCUUUCUUUCUUCCAGUUAUCAAUACUGACCUUUCCAUAGAUCAAUAAUCUCUAGCUCUCCUCUCAUCUCCAUUUUACCUGUCCUCCUAACCUACCUUUUGCACAGCUGUUCUCUUGAGGUCACACUAUGUUGGUUUCACUCCUGUUUUUAUUUUAGGAAGAACUAUUUCUAGAACUUCCAAUUUCAUGAAGAUUUCCUGGGUAUUUCUGGGAGUUGGACAUAGAAAAAUGUAAUUGCUAAGUGCAAAGGAGAAGGAGCAAGGCUUUUCCAUCUUUGAGGGACCAGAGCCCUUGGGUUACACCUCUUAUGGAAUGGACUUCACUUUGCCCUUUACAAGGCAUUUGUUUUACCCCCUCCUCUCCAUUAAGCGAGCACCCGAUCCUCCUAAAGCCACACCAGGACCCACCUACCUUCUGAGGCUGUGAGGAGGCUGGCUACCAGGAGGGCAAGAAAGAUGCUCGGUUCCAGCUGCUCAGCAUCUCCCUUCUGGAGCAGUUAACUGGAAAUACAGAGUCGCCUCCAUUUUCUGGUCACAUGAUCUCUGGCACGGCUAAAUAAGGAUGAUCACCUGCCUCUCAGAUCUCUCCGUGUACCGGCCACCACCGCUGCUGGGGUUGGGGGAAGGAGCUGGGGCUGUGCAGUUUCAUUCGGGAAUAUAAAAUACUUUUUCACCCAGGCUGUGGAGUCAGAAAUGCCCCUUGAUUUUUACGUCUACUCAGAAAAACUGCUGCCACUCCUGUUCCUGAGUGAGACUGGAUGUGAAUGGGCUCAAAGUACAGGUUGGAAGGAAUUCAGUUCCCCUGAAACCUCUUUUUAAAAAAAUCCUGUAGCUUCACAGCAUACCCAGUAAGAUGGCAAUGUAAUUACUUUCAUUUCAUGGACAAUGGUUAAGAUCAUAAUAAAAUGACUACGGAAGCACAGCAGGAUACAAAAAGAAGUCCAACUGGAGGCUCUAGAGAAAGUGAGGAUGUUUG